rnacentral:lncRNA from 1 species
CAAAAAUGGAGAACUGAUAAUUAUCACUGUAUUUAUUCUUUAUGGUUACUCGGGGGAACAUUUUAAAAGGGGACAUUAAUGGAAUAAGAUUACCUUUCCGUCACUCACAUCUGACUACUCAUAGACUUUUCUAUUUGAAGACGGAUUAAGGAAAAUUUUCCUGCAAACAAAUGUGGUCAAAUGAAUUGAUGAACAUGCAUACCUGCCAGGUACCCAGCAUCCUCAAGUGCCUAUAUGACAUUAACUCCAGUAGCCUGUGUGACCAUGUAGAAUAAAAAUAAAGUUACUGGGAGUUCAGGGUUGAUAAUAGCUCUGCUUUGUAUAUUUCUGCAGAAGUCAGAGUCUUUCAAAAUAUGGGAACAGUGAGUUAAAAUAAACUGUCUUAUUGGCAGAACAGAGUGUGAUCAUGAGAUACCAUUCAGCUUUUAUGCUGAUUCAUCAGCUCACAGUGAAACAAGCUUGCAAGAGAGCAUCCCAGGACCACUCAACAUUCAGAGGUAAUAGAGGACUUGAAGGCAUCACACAGAAGGUACAACUUCAAAUCCUGUUCUAAGGCUUGGGAGCAGAUCUAUGGACCCCACUCCUGAGUCAAUUUGCCGUAAAACAUGUGGUAUUUAAAAACUUUUACUAAAAUCUUGUUCCUGUGAUUUGUGGUUAAUGUUCAGGCUAAUUUGGGCAUUGGGACCAGCCAGUUGAUCCCAUUGGUGAACAGAGAAACACAGUUCAAGGCACAGCCUCAAGUCCAGACAAGUGUAGCACCCUAGAAACCCCAGAUCCUGGUGGGCACUGGUGCUUCCCAGUCAAGGGUCCAGAUGCUAAUUUUUGCAUGGCUACACUGUUGAGAAUUUUUCUGUCUGGGAUGCCUUCCCCCUCCUCCUCAAAGCUCAUUUUUCAUCACACAUCAUUUCUGAGUCUAUAAUUCCUAUAAAAUGUUAAUAUCCAGCUUAAAAUUUCAUCUCUCCAUAAUUCCCCUGUCUCAACCCUUUUUGUCCUUGGUCCCAAAAUAACUUGAAAUGAUUUUUUUCCAUAGAAAUUGUGGGGGUUUUUCCCAUUAUGUAAGUGCCUUGACUCAAUGUGAUUUAUUACUUCACAUCUACAUAGUAGCUUUCUAUGCUGCAUGUUCUUCUACAAAUGGGGGAUGAUAACAAUAGUGCCUGCCUUAGUGAGUUGCUGUGACAUUCAAAUGAGUCAACAACAUAAAUGAAAACAGAACCAGAUACACAGUAAAUGUCCAAAAAUGUUAGCAAUGAUGAUGAUAAUGUGUAUUGUUAUAAUAACCCCAUAUACUGUUGGUAAAUAUCUUGGAAUGAAAGAAUAGGUAAAAAUAAUUAUUAAUUACCCUGAAGCAUGGGUGCUUUGAACACCCAGACCCAAGUUCCAGACUCCCCUGAGGAUUGCUUCGUCACCACUGGGCUCACCUAGAGUCCGGGUGUUUCUGUUGUUAGGUUCAUGCAGUGAUCCUCCAAGUCUCACAUGCUUGUUAGAU